rnacentral:lncRNA from 1 species
AUGGGCCAGGUGUGUGGAGGCCCCCACUGGGAGAAAGGCUACUGUGAUAGAGACCUCACCUGCACCCUGUUCACCGGACGCAGCCCUGCCAGACCCCCACACACCGGCGUGUGCAAAGUGUUACAUGGGCAUCAGGCAGACCCCCUGGCAGACCCCCUAUGCCCCUGGAUGUGGGGCUGCAACGUCAGGGCAGGGGCCUGUGACUGCUACUCCCUACAGACUUGCCACGCUGCCUUCUCCUAUCACAGUUUGGACCAAUGUCUCAAAACAAUGAGAGGGGAUGAGCUCUGGAGUGAGAUGGAGGAACAAGGGGAGCAUACAUGUGUGGAAUGGGGCUGUGAGUUGCAGGGAAGCCAGUGUGUGUGUAUGGAGAGGAGCUGCUACUCACCCACACCAUUAUUCUCUGAAGACACCUGUGAAAACAUGCUGCAGAGAGCUCGCUGCAGCAAUGUUAACUGCCCUGAGGUCCAAGUCCCUUCCUGCCCUGCUGAUUCCUUCCUCACUGAGCCUUACAUUCCUCAUGGCCAAUGCUGCCCUCUGGUGCCAGCUAUCUGCACAUGCAACUUCGAUAAAUGCCCGUUGGCACCCCCGACCUGUCCUCCUGGCCAGCAAGUCCACGGUGUGGAGAGCAGGGAUGGUCUUCCAGGGGCUUGUUGCCACCAGUACCAGUGUGUGUAG